AGGAUUAACGCUGGCGGCGUGCAUGAAACAUGCAAGUCGAGCGCGGUGUGAUGCGGGGUAACCCAAUUCACAUCUAGCGGCGAACGGGUGAGUAACACGUGAGCAACCUACCUUUGAGUUGGGGAUAGCCCUGGGAAACCAGGAUUAAUACCCGAUGUGGUCACAACAGGACAUCCUGAUGUGAGUAAAGGCGUAAGCCGCUCAAUGACGGGCUCGCGGCCUAUUAGCUUGUUGGUGGGGUAACGGCCUACCAAGGCGAUGAUGGGUAGCUGGUCUGAGAGGGCGACCGGCCACGACUGGGACUGAGACACGGCCCAGACUCCUACGGGAGGCAGCAGUGGGGAAUAUUGCGCAAUGGGCGAAAGCCUGACGCAGCGACGCCGCGUGGGGAUGAAGGCCUUCGGUUGUAACCCUUUCAGCAGGGACGAAGCGAAGUGACGGUACCUGCAGAAGAAGCGCGCUACUACGUGCCAGCAGCCGCGGUAA
rnacentral:rRNA from 1 species